rnacentral:rRNA from 1 species
AGAGCGUCUCGGAUCAUUGACAACUAAAUAGGAAGCAGCAACGUCCAAUUAAAGGGCCCUGAUCACGAAACACAGUAUAAAAAUGAAUCUGGAGAGUUUGAUCCUGGCUCAGAACGAACGCUGGCGGCGUGCCUAACACAUGCAAGUCCAACGUGAAGGGGAGCAAUCCCCCGGUAGGGUGGCAAACGGGUGAGUAAUACAUGGGUGAUCUACCUUAGGGAUGGGAUAUCCUUCCGAAAGGAGGGGCAAUACCGAAUAUUGUCCGGAGCCGUGAAGGGUUCCGGGGAAAGGGAGGCCUCUGAUACAAGCUUUCGCCUUAAGAUGAGCCCAUGGCCCAUCAGCUAGUUGGUAGGGUAAAGGCCUACCAAGGCUACGACGGGUCGCUGGUCUGAGAGGACGACCAGCCACACUGGCACUGAGAUACGGGCCAGACUCCUACGGGAGGCAGCAGUGAGGAAUAUUGCGCAAUGGGGGAAACCCUGACGCAGCAACGCCGCGUGUGGGAAGAAGGCCUUCGG